UUAGUUGGCCUUUUGGUGUUAAAGUGAACUGUAUUUGCAUAGCGAUGUAUAGAUUUUAAUAUUAAUGUUAUCCUCGCCUAAAUACAAGUGAUUUAACGCAGGUGGGCGGAGUUCUGUUUAAAUAUUCAUAGUGACCCCGGUGACAGCCAGUAGGGGGGAGGCGAGGGGCGGGGGCAGGCGGAUGGAAAGAGAGCAGCUGGAGUUAAUCGUCCUCGUUGUGUGAGCAUUAAGAGAAGCUGCUUUUCAAAUAACUUGUUUUGAUUUUUUUUUUUUUUUUUUUAAAUUAUCAUCCAUGUACUGAACGUGACUUUAGACUGCCAUGAUGGAGUCUAUCUGGGAAAGUCUGAAAGCUGAGAAAGUCUCCCCGUCAAGGCGAACAAACCUGUUGGACCUGGAGGAGCUCAGCGACGAAGAUUUCCUUGCAGAUGUGCCUUUCGGCGGUGACCAGUUGGAAGACAUCAGCAGUGAACUGUUCAGCAGUUUCUUUGAUGAUCAUCUAUUAGAGCGACCCCUGCUGGCAGUCAGACCUCCACUCUUACACAUGGACAUUGACAGCAGUUCAGAUAUUCAAGCAGAGCACAGCUACUCCCAGAGUGAAGAGUCCGCCCCCCAGAGUCCUGCACUGUCAACUCACAUGAACCAGGAGUCUGAGUUUGAAUGGAGUUUCUGUCAGGACCUGUCCUCCAUUUUGGUGAAACAAGAAGAACCAGACGUAGGUCACAGUCUAGAUCCCCAACCUCUGGAAAGCCCGUCUCUAACAUUAGACCAUGCAUCUCCACACAGAGGACCUGCCUGGAAACACAUGGCGUACAUGUCAGAGAAUAUAAAGCCGUUGCCUAUAAAAGACGAACCCAAAGAGAUCGGACAGUAUCUCGGUGUGCCUAGCGAUGAUGCUCUACAGCUCCCACCCACUCCGGCCAACAGUAACCACAGCGACAGUGAUGGCUCCCUCCCUCCGUCUUCCCCUAACCAACCCCUGCCUCUGUCCUCUCCUCAGUCGCAGCAGAGGUCAGGAAGCCGUGGCUCUUCCUCAUCCUCUGCCAUUUCUUCUUCGCCUUUCCUCACUGCUCCAGAUAAGUUGCAGGGAUCGGGACCUCUCAUACUGACAGAUGAAGAAAAAAGGACCCUGGUUGCUGAGGGUUACCCCAUACCCAACAAACUCCCACUCACCAAGAGUGAAGAAAAGGCACUGAAGAGGGUCAGGCGCAAAAUUAAAAAUAAGAUUUCAGCUCAGGAGAGUCGAAGGAAAAAAAAGGAGUACGUGGAAUGUCUGGAAAAAAGGGUGGAAACCUACACGUCAGAAAAAAGUGACCUGUGGCGUAAAGUAGAAAAACUGGAGACAGCCAACAAGUCUCUUCUUCAGCAGCUUCACAAGCUGCAGUCACUAAUCAAAGGGAGAGUUGUUCUAUGUUCCUCUAAAGCAGCCUCGACUCAGACAGGGACAUGCUUCAUGAUGAUGGCGCUAUGUUUUGUCCUGGUGUUGGGCUCUUUCUCGUCCUGCCUUUCUCCUCUCUCCUUCUCUAAAAAUGGUCAAAGCUCGUCCCGUUUCACUCCGUCCUCUCCUCUUCCAUCAGCAGAACUUUAUACCACAAGUAGGGGUCCCGUAGCCUGUUGUCCUACAAUGACGAAUCCCCGUUCACUGAGGGUUCGUUGACAUCAAAGGGGGGUGGGCUACCGUCAGAAAUCAACUACAGCACCAGUCAUUUUACUGCUGACGCCAGGAAAAACCGCACAGUUGUGCCGGACGUAGACCUGAGACAAACAAAGACACUCCAAGUCUCAGAGUUUUUCUAGCCGACAACACGACCUCUCUUCUUCUCCAGCUCUGACCCCUCUAGGCCUAUUGUAAAUAUUUAAGAUAUCUUAAAUCAUAUGCCUGUAAAUACAAUUGGACAGAAGCAGAGCAUCACAUUCUGGCUCCCACAGCCACAGCACUUACCUUCUCUGCCUGACGAAUGUAAAUGUACUAUGUUUUAAACUCAUCCCAUGCAUCACCUAUGAUUUAAAAAUGUCACAUGUUACAGUGUAACUACAACGCUCCUCAUUACUGCUUAGUUAAGCAUUUCAAUUGGAAAAUUGGAAAACACUUUUCAUUGUUUUUAACCAUUCACAUCCCAGAAACGACAGCUCCACUGUGUAAGGAAACUGCAGAGAAAAGAAUCAAACAUACAGUAUAUAGACGUAUGCAAAGGCCAGACAAUUUCAUACAUAACCAAUUAUACACUUGUCAAGUUUAAGUGUCAUUAUGGUCAUUAAUAAUUUGUUUUUCCAUCUUGUAUUGUUACAAGAUGUCAGCUAAUUGACCACUGAGCCAAUCCCAAUCAGCUGAUGUAAAGACUAGUGCAGUUUUCACUACUCAGUCAAACAAUUAUACAAACUUGAAUAUCACCACAGUGCUGCUUAAUUAUGUGCCCAUUCUAUUAAUCCACAUUAGUACAUUUACAUUCAAAGGGUGUCUGUAGAACAGUAUUCUCAUUAAUGUUUUAAAACAGAGGUCCCCAACCACUGGUCCAGGCACCGGUGCCGGUCCGUAGAUCAGUUGGUACCGGGCCGCAGUGAAAAUAUGUACUUCAGUUUUACUAAUUUACUUCAUUCAAAAAGUAUCUAGUCAUAUCCCUUUACUUUUUUCAUUCAAAGAUAAUCUGCUAAUGUUUCACAACAACAGGUCAUUUGGAAAAUGUAACGAUCUUUCAAUGAUGGUGCGGUAUUACAGUAACCACAGUAACAUCUGACACCAGCUGACCGGUCCUUGGUACAAACUAGGUUGGGGACCACUGUUUUAAAAAACAUAACCACAGCUACGUGAGUGCCUUCUAACCAUUUUUAACUCGUGCAACUUAACACAAACUCAGCGACACAUUUUGCUCAGCUUCCUUUCCUACAUUUUAUUAUUGUGAAUAUUGUCCAAAAUUCAUUUAAAAGUCUUAAAGUGCUUUGUGUAUUUCGCUGCAUGAUUUGAUUUUUUUUUUAGGGUUAGUUUAUUGUAUUUAGUAUAAUAUAUUCUGAGCAUCAAAGAAAAAAAAUAUAUUGUGAAAUCAAGGUUAUCAUGAAGAUAUUGUGAGGAAGAAUAUGGUGUUUAAUUUAUAUGGUGUAAAUUGCUGAAAUGAUACAUUUUGUCACCGUUAAUUAUUUUUUGUUUCUCAUACAUAAAGAAAUCCUAAAACCUAUAUAUACAUAUAUUGUUUAAAAAAUUUAAAAUUCAUAAAAUUCAACUAAAUUUUGAAUUAGAAAUAUUUAAAUAAUAAUUUCAAAUCUUUUAAUGAAAAUAAAAAUCUAGACAUGGAAAAUUUAAUGUUAGUAGUAAAAAGAUAAAGUUUUUUUAUUUUAAAAAUAAAUGUACAUACUGUAGCUCAAAUUAUUAUUCAACUUCUUCUUAUUCCACCGUACCAGUGCAAAUGAGGUAAAUAAUAAAAAUUCUCUUAGACUUUCAAUUACUUCAAUGUAAUAAGGUGAUCACAAUUUUUAUACAAAAUGAGCUCCAGACAAAUUGAAUAAGAUUGUGCUUUAUUUGUAAGAACUAUUCAAAAUACCAUUACCAACUAAAAUGGUCUAGUGUACCUCAUAAACUGAAAUUGUUAUCUUAAAUAACAGAUGCCAAAUAAUGCUAAUUUCUUUACAGAAACACUGCACAUCCCCAUGUAUCUCCUCGUAUUAAAAGUCAAACUGGUCUGAUCUGAUUUACCUCAUUAACAGUCAAUAUAUUCAACAACAAAAGAAUAUAAAAAUGUAUAACUGGAAAGAGUUCCUUUCUUUAAAACACGUUCUGUUUGAACACCUGAACAUCACUUAUGGUAGGUCCCCACUAAAAAAAAGAUAGAAAGGAGACAAAUAAAAUCUUGUAAUGCUUACACAGCGCCACCUGGUCUUUUUGGACCACAGCUGCUGCUCAGUCCACGCCUAUCGCUUUUGGUGUGAACACCCCAUUACGCCUUGAUGCGCUAGUCAUUUUCUAGAUCAACCGAUGCUAUUAUCACAAAUUGAAUCGUAUUUUAACCGACUCACGAUGCAUCGUUACAUUCCUACUAAGGCUUUUUUUUUAAUAAACAGAAAGUCUUUGUAGUUCACGCAAAUAAAAUUCAGACAAAAUAACAGGCACCUAGAGAUGUUUAAACAGGGGUCCUCAAACACCUGGACCCUGCAGUAAAACUUGGGGAUUGGUCAUUUCCAAUCAGACACAGAAAGGAAAUUAUUACAUUAUAUGGAUUUAAUUGAUCUCCACUGCAAAAUGAGUAUAUUUUAAAAUAAAAAACAAGAAUUCCUCACCUUUACAAACGUCUCAUUACCUGUUAGAGUACUUAAAACUACAGUUUUUGCCCAAAAUCAAAGGAAUGCAGUUACUGUCCUACUAAAGUGUGGGUUUAUUGUAGGCCGUCACUGCGAGGUGUGACAUUCAGCAUCCCGACAGUCCACCUUUACUGUAAUUUAUUUUCAGGUUAUAUUGGUUUGCAUCUUUUCGUCAUACAUCAUCAUUUCAUCAUGCACCUCCUUCCAAUGAUUGGUUUGUAAGAUGAUUAUAUGAUACCAGUCGGUGGCAGAAAAAUAGUUGAGGACCUUUGGUUUAAAAAUGUGUGUGAUUACGGUGGAUGUUUGUACAGAUCUCUUCUUGCAUGUUUCUCUAUAUAUUAAUCUUAUUGUAGCUCGUAGAGUAGAAUCCAGCAAAAUAUUAAAACUGCAUCAGCAACACGUCUCUUGUGUAUUUCUCUUUUUUAAUAGGAUUGUCUUGGUUAUAUAUUACAAUUAUAAUUCUAUGAACAUUUGUACAUAACAGGAGGUAUUUAAUGCCAAGUGUAAACAGUUGUACUGAUGGGGUCCACCAGUGGUGAAUGCUAUU